GCGAUGGGGGUAUAGUGGUGAGCAUAGCUGCCUUCCAAGCAGUUGGCCCGGGUUCGAUUCCCGGCCAUCGCA
rnacentral:tRNA from 1 species